CGAAUCGACCGACCUGUCUUUUGAUUCCCCUCUUUGCUCCAUUCUCAUUGACUCUGUUCCACCAAGCGCUACCCACCCAGAGCGACCAUGCCGGCGCCGCUCGCCGCCGCUCCCUUGUCCCGUUUAACCCCCAUGCUCACGCCUCCCUCCGUGAAGCUCCUGGGUAGCCUGGUCUACAGCUUACCUAUCGUCGCCUCACCAUUGUAUCUCCGACUCCGUGCGCUUCCACCGGUGCUUUGGAAGCCGGCCACGGUGAACGACGUGCCAGAUUCUGUAUUCGUGCUCAUCUACCGCCCACCUCACCUUUCGUCCGAAGGACAACUUCACCAACGCCUACAUCCGCGAACCCUAGCGGCUACGACGACGCAGCGCCCGCUGGCGACGAUGUCGAUCACCGCCACCAUCGGCAACCACGAAGCACGUGUCUAGAGGCAUGCGUCUUCAAGACCGAAGAGGAGUAGCAGACGAUUGGGGUUAAAGAUAGCUUCUCGUAGCAGUGUGACAGCCGCUACAACAAGUGGGCAAGUCAUCAAGUGAAAUCGUGCAAAUGUCAUCCCUCCAUGGCUCCAUCCAUACCUGCUGCCGGCUGCCACCACGACGCAACGCCAUCCAUCCAUACAGUGAGCUCCGCAACGGAUGAUGGUGCUGGAGGGGAGGACCUGCUGUUCAGCUCGGCUCGGCCACAGGCUUCCUCAAGUAGCACGAGGGACAUGAAUCUGUGGCGGCGAGGUAAAGAAGAAAAUAUGAAGAAGGAAAGGCCAGAUCUAGGCGGCACACCGACGCCGCUUGUGCGUCGUGGCUCAUCCAGAUAUGUCUCUCUUGACUACGACCGCUAGGUGCUUGGAUAAAUGCCCCGCAGCUGUGGCUCCCUCCCUGGCGCAAACUCGACACAGCGGCACACCUUAGACACAGAGGGCGGAGUUGUACCUGCAGAGGUGCCACAAGGUGAGGAUGUAGCUGCUCCUUGGGGACCAAGACCUUAGCUGCGGCGCUACGAGAUCGCUAUGAAACACAAAGAUGACAACAGACAACUUGGAAGGUUUCAAAACUUGUGAAGUAGCUUUAGAUGCAGAAAACGCCAAACUGGAGUUGUAACUGGAGGAAGCUGAAGAUUUUGCCGAGCUUAUCGAAAACUGUGGUACAUGAGCAACAUUGGACGAAAUUGGACGUCUUAGACAAGGGAACUGAAGAAAGACUAUAAGAACCUGAGGAUCUAUUGUUGAUCGAGCAGCACAUCAGCCACAAACAUUUAUUAACCGUGUUUCUUCUCUCCUUUUCAUGUGUUUAUCUUUCAUUGAUCUGGUGAGAAAUGUCAGAUAUCUUGGCUCUUGUUGGGCAUGUUUCGUCCAUUUGGGCAUGUAUCUUUUUUGAGGGUCUUCAUAUGGCCAAGGGUUUUUCUGGAGCUUUAUGUGGCCACUGACUGCUAGUUUUGUUUGACUGAUGUUUUUUAUUCUCAGGACUAACUUUUUUACUGGCACUACUGCAAAAUGUUUCAUAUUUAUCUAGGGUCCUGUGAAAUCCUUGGAUUGGUGUGAACUUCUUAAUGCUAUUUGUGUGUUUAAUCUGUACACUUAUAUUUGUGGCACCUCUAGAGGUUAAACCAAAAGAUUGACCAUGUGGCACCUUUAUGCAGUCUAACAUGGAUUGUGAAUUGUGCUCCGUGGCACCUUUUUAGAGGUCAAAUGACUAGAUAUUUGUGUUUGCACGUCAAAGUGUGGUAUAUUAUGAAUUGCAAUGUUGUACGCCCUGAUGGCUAAAUUCAUGUUAUGAUCUUUAACAAUCUUGUUUCAUUUUUAAUAAAAUAAGCAAAUUAAGACAUUUGACUGUUAGUGAUGGCUACUUGUUUGAAAACCUAAAGAGAUAGGUUUAUCACCUCAUCAUCCGUUUCAUGGUGGGAAGCAUUAGAAACUGAUGGCUAAAUAUUGCUAUAAAUAAAAUAUAGUGAAUAAGGACAUUCGGAAAUGUUAAUUUAUUGAAAUGUUAAUUAUUAUGCGGUUGUAUUUAAUAGUUUGUAUGAUCGCUUGCUUGUUAAGUAAGUACAUGGAGAAACUAUUAUGCGGUUGUCUUUCAUGUCUUCAGUGUCCGAACAAUGCAAACAAUGAUAGCUCCACUAUUAGGCGCGGAUUAAGUACAUGCUUAGAUAAGGAAAGUAUUUACCAGUUCACUUAGGACAAACUAAAUGAUAUACUCCGAAACAUUUUUGGCCCACUGAAUGUUAAUGUAUUAUUGGGAAUCGGGGCAAAUUGUAAACUUUACUACCUUACAGUGCUCCAUUGUUUCUCCAUUUUUAUUUUUUUGAGGCAUUUUCUUAGUUUUUCUUGUAUGGCUAAUUUCUGACUAUUUCAGGAAUUUAUUUCUUGUCUUGUUGCAUCCAAAUGAGGCACAAGAAUCCAACAUGAUGACUCUACUCAUGUAUAUAUUUGCAGGAUAACAUCGCUCUAGCCGUUGGUGCUAAUGAAGAGAUUCAUUUAAUGAAAGACCAACAAUAAGCUGAUAUAAUCUUGUGCAGUGGCUCGAACACAGAUCCACGGAGAGAGUUGAUUUGUGGGAAAGAGGUGGGUGAUGGAUGAUGGAGCAAGUUGCCGGAGAGGUGGCGGAGAAUUGAUAGAGGAACAAGGAACAUCUGAUUUCGAUGUGUGAGCACCGGAGGUGGAUGUAUAUUGCGGUGCACAUUCGUAGGAGGAUGCCCACGUUCUGGCAUUAUUUUUGUACUAGGAUCUUGGAAUUGAGUGUGUAAUCCGAUUUCAGUGUGUAUGGUGGUUUUCAUUUCAAAUCAAUUUCAGCUCAGAAUUUUCUUUGAUAAU